rnacentral:rRNA from 1 species
AGAGUUUGAUCAUGGCUCAGGAUGAACGCUGGCGGCGUGCUUAACACAUGCAAGUCGAACGGAGUUUUUAAACGGAAGUUUUCGGAUGGAAGUUUAGAAACUUAGUGGCGGACGGGUGAGUAACGCGUGGGUAACCUGCCUCAUACAGGGGGAUAACAGUUAGAAAUGACUGCUAACACCGCAUAAUAUAGCGAAACCGCAUGAUUUUUGCUAUCAAAUAUUUAUAGGUAUGAGAUGGGCCCGCGUCUGAUUAGCUAGUUGGUGGGGUAAAAGCCUACCAAGGCGACGAUCAGUAGCCGGCUUGAGAGAGUGACCGGCCACAUUGGGACUGAGACACGGCCCAAACUCCUACGGGAGGCAGCAGUGGGGAAUAUUGGACAAUGGGGGAAACCCUGAUCCAGCGAACCGCCGCGUGAGUGAAGAAGUAUUUCGGUAUGUAAAGCUCUAUCAGCAGGGAAGAUAAUGACAGUACCUGACUAAGAAGCCCCGGCUAACUACGUGCCAGCAGCCGC